rnacentral:rRNA from 1 species
UACGUAGGGGGCAAGCGUUGUCCGGAAUCCUUGGGCGUAAAGCGCGUGUAGGCGGCCAGGUAAGUCCGUUCUGAAAGCCCGGGGCUCAACCCCGGGAGGCGGAUGGAUACUGCUUGGCUCGAGUCCGGAAGAGGCGAGUGGAAUUCCCGGUGUAGCGGUGAAAUGCGCAGAUAUCGGGAGGAACACCAAUGGCGAAGGCAGCUCGCUGGGACGGUACUGACGCUGAGACGCGAAAGCGUGGGGAGCAAACAGG